rnacentral:rRNA from 1 species
CCUACGGGUGGCUGCAGUGGGGAAUAUUGGACAAUGGGGGCAACCCUGAUCCAGCCAUGCCGCGUGUGUGAAGAAGGCCCUCGGGUUGUAAAGCACUUUCAGUGAGGAAGAACGCCUGGUGGUUAAUACCCAUCAGGAAAGACAUCACUCACAGAAGAAGCACCGGCUAACUCCGUGCCAGCAGCCGCGGUAAUACGGAGGGUGCGAGCGUUAAUCGGAAUUACUGGGCGUAAAGCGCGCGUAGGUGGCUUGAUAAGCCGGUUGUGAAAGCCCCGGGCUCAACCUGGGAACGGCAUCCGGAACUGUCAAGCUAGAGUGCAGGAGAGGAAGGUAGAAUUCCCGGUGUAGCGGUGAAAUGCGUAGAGAUCGGGAGGAAUACCAGUGGCGAAGGCGGCCUUCUGGACUGACACUGACACUGAGGUGCGAAAGCGUGGGUAGCAAACAGGAUUAGAUACCCGGGUAGU